GUUUCAGCCAUGAAUCUGGAAAGGGUCACAACACAGGAAGGAAGUAGAUCGCACUUCCUAGCCACCAUGUAGCCACCAAUCCUGAGAGCUGCUAACAGAGACCAGGUGCUUUCGCUCCAGUGCUGAAAGACUAACUGGCUGGAGGCCUUUUCCUUUAAGGGAGCAGGCCAAGAAGCAGAUGGGCUUGACAACCUGUCAGGCACCUGAUAAGCCAUUUUCAUUUUCCCACUUAUGCUGGAAGUGCAUGAUGGGAGUCAAUAAAGCUCCUUGCAGAAGUCACCAAAACUAUUACUUAGCAUAGUCUGUGGAAGUGUGUUACUGAGGGGCUUUUAUUUUUAUCUUUCAUAUUUAUGCACUGAAACCUGUUUUAAUUAUUUGUUCUAUCAGUGAGAUUAUAGUUCUUACAAGGAUUCACCCAUGUUAGUUUAUUGUGGCUAUUUAAUAUUACACGUAGAAAAACAGUCUAAUAGUCAAUAGAGUCUGAUUUGGAGCCUCUAAGCAUUUGUGUAAUGCAAAUAUUUACCAAGUCUACAAAAUAACUUUAGAAGAUCUAAACGAGACUGAAGACUAGGUUGCUGGCAGUGAGCAGCUAAGAUUCAAUAGUAACAGGCACAUGACUGACAGAGUGAAGAAACUUAACUCCAUGCUUCGGUUUUCCACUCUGGUCUACAGUCUUCUUAUGGUAGGGUAAUUUAGUGCUUUGACUAGAGCUCUCCCAUUACAGGAUAAACAGUUCAGAACAAAAAGAAAAGGAGUACUAGUGGCACCUUAGAGACUAACCAAUUUAUUUGAGCAUAAGCUUUCGUGAGCUACAGCGAAUACAGACUAACAUGGCUGCUACUCUGAAAGAGUUCAGAACAAACAUCGCACAAUCUUCCAGCCCUCUCUGGGCUCAAAUAGUCCUUAAACAGCUCUUCCCUGCCCACUAGUCCAUUUACCUGUUGACACAAACUGCGUAGGUGGCAGGAGCACAGUGGUCCGUCAGCCCUUCUAAACUCAGUACAUGGGGCUUCUUUCCACUCUUAUUGAAAGUCCAAGCUGGGGGCCCUAAACAAAGACAGAAAGCAGUAUCAAACCCCAAACUUGCAUCUCUGCUGAACUGUCACAGGCCUUUUCCUUUUCUUGCUUCAUCCCUCUUUUCUACUCAUGCCUGUUUUCAAACCAUUUCCCCACAGCCCUACUGGCUGCUUUUCCAUGUUGGUAGUGAAAUACUGCAGAUCUGGUUGUUUCACAGGCUGCCCUUUUUUAGUCUGGUUGGCACAUGAUCACUCAUGAGCCCCUCCAGACAAAUCCUCAAGAAUACCCUUGUCCUGACUACACCAAGACCAAGCUGUGCCUAUAACCUCCUCUAAAGAGUCAGUGCAUACCCUGUUUUGGGCUAGUAAGAAUAACACUCACCUCUGCUUCUGAGAUUGCUGAUGCUUCUUUCAGGGCUUGAGCCUUUCAUAAGUUUCUUUUAAAGUUCCUCAUCUCUUCUCCCUAGAUCUAUUUCUAAACAGAGUAUUGCCCAUAUAUUAGUACAUCCUUUAGCAUAAUAAAGAUAUGAAAGUAUCCUCCAGUCCAGUUUUUUUCCUCCUUUGAAGAUCAUCUUUAAAGGAAGAAAGAGUGUUCUACCAUUCCUCCAAGUCAUUACCUUGUAGAAGCUGGGUUCUGUGUAUAUCAAUUACAAGGCAGGCAAUAUCAAAAUCUGUUGUUCACAAUCUAUGACCUUUAGGCUGCGUAUAAACUGAGAAUUUUAUGGAAUUCUUUUAUAUUUGAUCUAGCGCUGGUGGUAGCAAUAGUGGCUAGUAUAGACUAGCUAUUGGUGUUUUUACCAUCCAUGUAGUAUUCAACACUGUUCAGAGCAGGUCCGCACAACACUGACCACUGGAUCUGUUUUCCAUCAUUUCAUUAGUAGAGCUUCAUUAGUGUUAGCUCAACACUGAGGAAAAUCUAAGUGUAGAUAAGGCCUUUGUUUACAUCCAGCUCUCUAAAUCUUCAAAGAAUAUAGCCCCAGGAAAUACCUGCUAGGAAGGCAAGUGUUUGUUUUUUGUUUUGUUUUUCAAUUCAGACUGUAUUAAUUACAGUAAUGUAAGAUCUAUUAUUUAACUAAAGAUUAAGAAAUCAGGAUUCUCUAUUUGUAUUAGAAUGGAUUUGGGCAAAUCAGUGCUAGUAACAUACCCCACCCCCCCUUAUUUCAAGGUCAUAUUUGACUUUUCAAACUGAACUGCUAUUCUGGUAUCUUUGGUAUGGUUUAGGAAAUCUUAGGUGAUGACAUUUGCAGACAGAUAACCCAUUAGUUCUUUAUUACAGUGGAUGUAUUGGUUUGGCCAAUACUUUGCUUUCAAAGGUGGUGGAUAUAAAUUUCUACUGCCUUAUUGUGCCACAGUUGUGUAAACACCGUUAUCUAGAACUGAGAUCCUGGGGUGAGAUUCUGAGCUGUAAUUCUAAGAUUGCCCCUAACUCAUUGCCCAGGAGUGCCUACAGCAGCUUUAAAUUACCUUUGCACAUUUCCAAUCCUGUGCUGCUCUGAGGGAUAGAGCUUUCCCAGCAUAAUUUAUACAGCCGUGAGGUAAUGUAUAAGUUACAGAGCAUCAUGGGCCACAGCAUUGUAAAGAAACUCCAUAGUCCUGCACGAUAUGGCCCGUAUUCAGCAUGCUCAUCAUACCCCAGCAUACUUCUACACCAGCCUUUGCAAGGGGGUCUUUGCAAUGCAGCUGAUAGCUCCCUUGUACAGUGUCUAUACUAGGGAAAAUCCUCUCCUGGUCAGUUAUUGGGGGUUUUAAGGUCCUUUAACUGGGUCUUACUUCACUCAGUGACAGAUCCUACUACUGCCUCAGUUUCCUUCCUUCCACAGGGAGACAGAACCAUCACAGUAAUGCUUUGUAAUUACUCUCCUCUUUUGGGAACUGGUUUAUUACCUAAAAUAAUUAAGGGAAAGCUAGAUUCUUCCAGCCUCCUUCUCCAAGCUCACCAGUCCAUUACAUCCCUCCUCUUGAACACCUAAUUCCCCCUUGGGAGGAAUUUUUCUUCUCUUUUCUUGCUCUUCACUAGAAGUGGCUCCAGCCAGAGCUUCUUCUGCAAUCCUUUUUGACCUAGAUUCCCCCAGAAGACUCUCUCCCCCCUAGCUCCCUGCUAAACCAAUUCAAGACCAUACCUAAUCUGCUGGAGCAGAUUGGGUGUUACAGGAAACCCUGCUCCCCAGCUAUCAUCAUGUAAUGCCUGGUCACCUGACCCAACCACCAGCGCAAAACCAUCAUGUAGGAAGCAAAUAACUAGGCACAGGUGAGGCUGAACCCAACUGCCCCUAAAGAACUAACUACUCAUACUAUGACAGGCCCUCCCCUUUUUUUUUAAAGUAUGAAGGCCCUGGUGUGAGUCUAGGAUCUCACUAUUAGUGCAUAAACAAUCCAACUACAAAUAGUGUACAGAUUUGAGAGCACAAACAACUGGAAUAAAAAAAAUCUCAUAAGUCUAUACUUGGCUGUGAAUGGAAAGAGGAUUCUCAACACUACUGGCACAUGCAGUGCAGAGAAAUCAACAAUAGUACUGAAACUCAAUCUGUUUCAGACACUCUUUACACAGUUGUGACUACUGUAACAUGAGACAUGUAUAACUAACAUGGUUUUGGGUGAACAAAAGCCUUUACGUGCUUUCUGACCAGCCACAGUAAUCAAACAGAGCCACACCUUGGCUAUACUCAAACCUCAGGGAUGAUUAUUCCUAUAGUAACAUAUGUCAAGUCUACAUGCUUGUUAUGACUUGUGAUGAACCUUUCUGCCUCACUUUUUAAUAGUAUCCCAAAAUUAUUUGAAUGUAUAGUUUAACAACUUACAGUGCUGUGUUUUCACUUUCGGACACAUUAUGUACAGAAAUAUCUUGACAGAAGCUGUUACCAACUGAAAUGUCUCUUUUUGAAACCUCAGUCAAACCUAUUCUUGUGAAGAGGCUUAGGGAAAAGAACAUUUAGAUUAUCUGUCAUACCAAAAUCCAGGUUCUGCUCAGUCUAAUAUCUACAACUUUACUCUGUCUACUUUAGGAAGUAGCCCUGUUUCAGUAAUUGGUUUAGCUGAAGUGGGGCUGAUGACAAUUAGCUGUAAGUAUAGACAAGAACAAACCUGGAUUAGUGCCUCCACCUAAAAGUUUUUGAAAGGGAUAGUCUUUUGUUUUUUGUCUUCACCUAUUUUCCCUCAUGUGACUAUUUAUUGUUUGUCCAUUAUAUUGUUAAACAUAUCCUGAAAAUGUGUAUUAUCCAUACAAACUGGAAACAGGUACAAUGUCUUUGUUUUCUGUACAUCAAAGCUUUCAGUAAAUAGGGAAGAAACUUUAAUCAGAACUAUACUUUCACAAAAGCCUCUAAGUUAGUGUGGAACUGAAAGCAAAGGGAGAAGUUCUGAAACAUAAGCUGUAAAUAGCUCACAACUUUACUACUUUCAGAAUGAUGGACCAUCUGCAGUACAAAAUUAAUCAUGAGGGGUCCUUACCAUGUUCUAACAGUGUCCCUGCAUCAUACUGCAGACUUUCAUCUGUGUUAGAAGAUGGAACUGUAUUUUAACUUUGGGGGAUAACUGCCAUGUUGUAAGUGUGGUUUCUUCAAUACAGCUCACUUCGCAAGGUAGAUGGGCCCUAUGUUUAUGACAUCAGGUACCCGUGACAUAAUGAAAAUGGACAAUAACAAUCUAAGCUCAAAAUUUGUAUUUUAAAUCCUUCAUUGUUUUUACUCUAGUAAACUGUAAUACAAACACUGCUGUGAAUCCAAAAUUACAACCCAAAACAGCAGACUGCUAUAAGUACUCACUCAGGAAUGUCACACAAACAAAUGAAAAUGUUGAACUUGAUUCCCAUUUACAGUGUGGCCCCUUUACAGUGCACAGGCAUUGUAAAGGGAUAUUAAAGUGGAUGUAAAUGUUGUGACACUAUACCCCAAAUUCUUCAUAGAAAGUUAUAAUAUGAUUAUAGUACAACUAUGAUAUAUUUUGUGCAAGAUAAGUCAUGUGAGAAAGGCAUGUAAGGCAUGAAAAAGGUUAUGAUUUUCUGAAUGUGAUUAACCUAUUUGUAACUAUGUAUCAUUUCUGUAUCUGAAGUUAGGAAUACUGACUGUGUAUCAAUUACAAAUGGAUUUACACCUGGGGACUGCCCACCAGACAGAAUGCAAUCAGUCUGGAUGGGCCAUUAGAAAAAACAAUAGGUCUUCGAAGAUGCUAAUCUCUCACGUUCCUCGAAAGCCUUCCUAUGGAUGCUGCAAAUAGACUUUGAGUUAUGGCUGCAGGGUCAUGUGAUCACGUCACCUAAUACUGGACUCCAUAACAAAAUUAGUACUUUUCUGCUGGCUGGGGGUGGGAAUCACACUGGAAGACAAAGGGUUCCUGCCAUAUGUAAAACAUUUAAGGCAGGGGAGUUACAUAAUCAUCAGUUGUUCUUUGUUGAAUCCCUGCCCAAGAUGACUGCUGUAAAUACAUAAGACUGAACUGGGGAAGAAAGGCCUGAACCCAGGCUAGAGUGUAUCUGGCCUGUGAAACAAAUACCUGGAGUCUUAAGCUGAAAGCAAGAGCAGCUUUCCUUCAAGAACCUCUGCAAUCUGCCUAAAACAACAUUUAGGGUGAGAAUUUGCUAGUUAUAACCAAUUUCUUUAAUAUGUUAAGCUUAGCUUGUGUGUUUGUUUCAUUUGCUAGGUAAUCUGCUUUGAUCUGUUUUCUAUCCCUUUUAAUCACUUAACAUCUAUCUUUUGUAGUUAAUAAGCUUGUUUUUGUUUUCUCUGAAACCAGUUUGUGGAAUUCAUAACUGGGAGGCAAAAAGCUGUGUAUAUCUUCUUCCACAUUGAGGAAGGGAGUGAAUUUCACAGUGCUGCACUGUUCUCUAUGCAGUGCAAGAUGGUGUAAUUUUGGGUUUGCACUCCAGAGGGGGGUGUGCACUUCAGUAUCUGUGCAGUUCCUUAGCUGAAGCCUUCCCAUGCAGGGGCUAGUCAGAAAGCCUGUUUGCAUGUUUCAACAGCUGGGUGUAUUCCUACGUGUGUGUGUGUGUGUGUGCGUGUGCGUGCGUGCUGAUAAAGUGCAGUCUGAAGCCUGAGGGAAGACUUGACUGGCUUGCCUCACCAGAACAGUGUAAAGUUAAUAAACUUCUAGUCAGCUUAUCAAAGGAUUGGCUAUAAGCAUUGUCUCUGGUGUGAGAUCAAAGGUGCAGAUUGACCUGGGUUCACACACCCUUCCCAGAUGGCUGAAAACCUAUUUGCCUAUGAUGAAAUCUAAAAUUAAAUGAACUAUGCUGUUCCUAGAAGAGUGGAGGUGACCAAAUAAGGAGUCUAAUCCCGUAAACCCAGUAGUCACAUGAGUAGUCCCACUUAAGACAGCCAGUUUACUCACAUUAGUAAAAGGGUUUUUUUUUAUUUUUAAUUUUUUUUAAAAAAAUUCUUUUUUAAAUGUGAGUUCAUACAAACAUAUGGUUUGUUGACAGGUAAAAUUGUGACUAAAGAUAAGGAGUAAUCUAGGAUGGAAAUACAAUAUAGUGAAAGUGGUACAACUCCUCUUGUGUGGACCCAGUUCUACCUGUAUUAAAGUGCUUAUACCAGUAUAUUUUAUUCCAGAGUGAGAAAGGGAAUAAGUUAUACUACUAUAACCUUUGUAUAUAGAUGAGGCCUAAAAAAAUUAUGUCAAGUUGUUCUCCUCUAUCCACUAUCUUUUUGACACACAAAGAAUUCUAAUAGAUUAGUGAGGCACAAUUUUUGUUUGCAGAAGAUGUACUGGUUAGUCCCUGUCACAUACCUGCAGCUUAACUCCACACAGAAGCUGAAGGUAGAAUAGGUGCUGGAACUUGGGGUGCUGGCUUGAAGUGGUUUCCAUUAUGUACAGGGUUUACAGUUUGGUUCAAUGGCUCUCAGCACCCCCAUGAUAGUAAUAGUUCCAGCAACCCUGGAAGGUAGUGCAGAACUUAGUAGCAUGCUUGUUAAGUGGGUGUCUGCCAGGAACACUUUAUACCAGUGCUCCAAAAUCUGCACUGGCUACCUGUUGGUUUCCAGGAGGAGUUGUUUCAGGUGGUAGUUUUGACCAACAAAGCUCAAAAUUUUCUCGGAUCAUCCUGCUUAAUAGACUGCUUUUCCAUUCUCUGCCACAGUUGAGGUUACCAGGGGUGCUCAAACUAGGACAUGUUUGGUAUAUAAGAUAAGGCACUCCUGGCCCCUUGACUUUGAAAUUCACUCGCCUUCCACAAAUCUGUUGGUCUUUCGGACAAGCUGCAAAAUCAUCUUCUUCUUGAGCAGACCCUCAGGGAGGGAUGAGGUGUCUAGCAUUUCAUUUGGAUAUGUGAGAGAAAUGGCUACAAACCUUAAAGAAGACAGUGGUCAAUUAAUACCUACUAAAAAGCAACAUAUCCAGAGGAAACUCCUUGAUUCUCAAGACAACAGGUAGAAACCAAUUUACAGAACAGUGGAGAAGGGGAAACUCCCAUCCCAGACACAGGAUGACUGCAUUGAAGAAUUAUCUCAUGGACCCAGAAGCGCCAACUCCGUGGGUACUCCGGUGCUGGAGCACCCACGGGGAAAAAUUAGUGGGUGCUCUGCAGCCACUGGCAGCCAGGAGGAGAGUGCAGGACCCCUGAGCUGAAGGGGAAAGAGAACAUAAUGCCUCGAUAUAAAUCCAUGGUACACCCACUUCUUGAAUACCAUGAGCAGAUCUGGUUGCCCCAUCUCAAAAAAGAUAAAUUAGAAUUGCAAAAGUACAGAGAAGGGCAACAAAAAUCAUUAGGAGUAUGAAACAGCUUCCAUAUAAGGUUGUGAACAAGUUCACUCUUAUCCUUCCCUUCGCUAAACUAAAUAGAUUAAUCUCUUUUUAAAUAGAUUAGUCUCUCACUGUAAGUGUGUUUUCCAGACUUCGAAAAUUUCUUAUAGCUCUUUUUUGAUCCUUCUCCAAUUUGGGAACAUGUUUUUAAAAAUGUGGACAUUAUCCUUGGACACAAUAUUGCAUUAGUGGUCUCAUGAAUGCCAUAUAUAAAAAUAAUUAGAGUCCCAGAGUUUAAGGCCAGAAGGAUCACCAGAUCAUGUAGUCUGAUCUCCUGUAUAUCAUAGGCCACUAACACCACCAAGCACCCACACACUAAACCCAACAAGCCCAUUUUCCACUCCUGCUUGAUAUUCCCCUGUCUAUACAUCAAGGGAUCAUGUUAGGCCUUUUUUCUACGGCAUCACCCUGGGAACUGAUGUUCAUCUGGUUAUCAAAGUCCUUUUUGGAGGCACUGCUUUCCAGGAUGCAGUCCCCCCCUUUUGCAGUGGUGAUUUUAGAUGAUACCUCAUUCCUCAGGGUAACAAAGGCACUGAGAGCACAGCCGUUGCUGGAGUCCUGAAGUCAUUCAGGCCUGUAUGCUGCUAGCCUGUUUACUACAGUAGAGCCUGCAGAGGAAGAAAUAAGGCUGUUUCAUCCUUAGAAACUUUCGGAAGAGGAUUGCGGAGUAUCUCCAUGAAAGUUUCACUGAGAUCUCUCAGCAGGAUUCAAAGGACAUCCCUGGGUACAUAAACAAAUUGCUCCACAUUCCAGGCUCCAGCCUAACUCUAAGGGAAUGAAAAGCAGGUGUGAGUGUGGCCCUUACAUAACAAAGCAGCCGAGAGCCAGCCAAAAUGUCAGGAAGGACAGAGUGCCAGCCAGGAACAUCCCAGGAUGGGAGGCAGGAGGAGUGCUGUCCUGGGAAAGAAUCAUCUGAGAAGGUCAAACUGAAGCCAGACCCAGUAUCACCAUCGCCCAGAACUAUACGGGUCUGUGAGUACUGGAGCUUGUGACUUUGCAUUGGGAACUAAGGAGGGAGGUUGUAGCUAGUUAAGUGAGGUUGUUGCACUGUGUAGGUUUGCAGAGAAUGGCAGAAGAGGGCACUGGAAGGGUUUGUUGGGUAAAAUUUAUGGGUGCCAAAGACCAUCAGGAGCACCCAAGAGUCACUGCUGAACUGGAACUCUGCCAAGGAUUCCUGAGCUCUGAAUCUAGAUGCAUUGCUCAGUGUCUAUCCUUUUAUAGGGUAACACUGGGCCUGUGGAUCCUUGUGUUGGAUGUAACCCUGCUUUACUGCUCCCCCUCUCUCUUCCCUCUGUUUUCCUCCAUUCAUCCCUCUGUCAAUAAAUAUUUCCUUUGUUUGUAUUCACUGUACUAAUCCAGUGUGUGUAUGUAUUUAGUCAGUGGGGUUAGGAACAGGUGCUCCUGGGGUAGAAGAGAGAUUCUCUACUGUGUUCCUACAUGUGCCUUUUCUUGGCCAGAA